CGUAUAUGUUUUGGUCCUCAUGUGUUGUUCAUUGCUUUGGUUCUCAUGUGUUGUUCAUUGCUUUGGUUGAUAAAGAUUACAUAAAUGUUUUGGUGUUUCAGAUCCCUGAAAUCAUCAGAAGGUUUGAUGAGAAGCGUUUCACUUUGAAGGGUAACUGAUUCCAAACUUGCUUCUAGUGAUUUGAUUAUUUGAUUUUGAGUCAACUGAUGAGUGAGGAUGUAGAGUACAUGCAUGAAGAUGAUGAGUGUUGA